AUACGGAGGGUGCGAGCGUUGUCCGGAAUCACUGGGCGUAAAGGGCGCGUAGGCGGUCUGCUAAGCGUGUGGUGAAAGCUCGGGGCUCAACCCCGAGUCGGCCAUGCGAACUGGUGGACUAGAGCACUGUAGAGGCAGGUGGAAUUCCGGGUGUAGCGGUGGAAUGCGUAGAGAUCCGGAAGAACACCGGUGGCGAAGGCGGCCUGCUGGGCAGUAGCUGACGCUGAGGCGCGAAAGCGU
rnacentral:rRNA from 1 species